rnacentral:rRNA from 1 species
GACGAACGCUGGCGGCGUGCCUAACACAUGCAAGUCGAGCGAACAGACGAGGAGCUUGCUCCUCUGACGUUAGCGGCGGACGGGUGAGUAACACGUGGAUAACCUACCUAUAAGACUGGGAUAACUUCGGGAAACCGGAGCUAAUACCGGAUAAUAUAUUGAACCGCAUGGUUCACUCGUGAAAGUCGGUUUUGCUGUUACUUAUAGCCGGAUCCGCGCCGCAUUAGCUAGUUGGUAAGGUAACGGGUUCCCCAGGCAACGAGGCGUAGCCGACCUGAGAGGGUGAACGGCUACCCUGGAUGUGAGACGCGGUCCCGACACCUACAGGAGGCCGCGGUAGGGAAUCUUCCGCGAUGGGGGAGAGCCGGACAGUGCAACACCGCGGGAGUGAUGAAGGUGUUCGGAUCGGAGAACUCUGUUAUUAGGGGAGAACAAAUGUGUAAGUAACUAGGCGCGUCUUGACGGUACCGGAACAAUAAGCCACGGCUAACUACGUG